CCCCAUACCGGGGGAUAACAGCUGGAAACGGCUGCUAAUACCGCAUAAGCGCACAGAGCUGCAUGGCUCGGUGUGAAAAACUCCGGUGGUAUGGGAUGGGCCCGCGUCUGAUUAGGCAGUUGGCGGGGUAACGGCCCACCAAACCGACGAUCAGUAGCCGGCCUGAGAGGGCGACCGGCCACAUUGGGACUGAGACACGGCCCAAACUCCUACGGGAGGCAGCAGUGGGGAAUAUUGCACAAUGGGGGAAACCCUGAUGCAGCGACGCCGCGUGAGCGAAGAAGUAUUUCGGUAUGUAAAGCUCUAUCAGCAGGGAAGAUAAUGACGGUACCUGACUAAGAAGCCCCGGCUAACUACGUGCCAGCAGCCGCGGUAAUACGUAGGGGGCAAGCGUUAUCCGGAUUUACUGGGUGUAAAGGGAGCGUAGACGGCAAGGCAAGUCUGAUGUGAAAACCCAGGGCUUAACCCUGGGACUGCAUUGGAAACUGUCUGGCUCGAGUGCCGGAGAGGUAAGCGGAAUUCCUAGUGUAGCGGUGAAAUGCGUAGAUAUUAGGAAGAACACCAGUGGCGAAGGCGGCUUACUGGACGGUAACUGACGUUGAGGCUCGAAAGCGUGGGGAGCAAACAGGAUUAGAUACCCUGGUAGUCCACGCUGUAAACGAUGAAUGCUAGGUGUUGGGGAGCAAAGCUCUUCGGUG
rnacentral:rRNA from 1 species